rnacentral:lncRNA from 7 species
CAGGCUUCUGUCGCCUCGCCUGUGCGGUACUAGUACGCUGCGUGCUUGCGUGGGACGUUGAUCUCUCCGUCUGCUUUAGCCAGCCCAAUAGACGUUGCCGCAAUGUUAUACUACCACGGUAGACUCCUCACAGCCGCACAGCAAAACAAUUUUAAACCCGUCCCCCUUACGCGUAACAGCGUACUACCCGUCAUCAGCCAUCGGCACGGCGCCCCCUGCUAGCGUCUCUUGUCUUGUCCUACGACGGCCCCACCACCCUACUGUCGCUCCGUCUCUCCCCUCCGGCCCUCCUCCAGUGGCCGCAGCGUCCCUCCACUUCUCCCCCAGCACCGUCUCUCUCCUCCUGCACAGGUACGCAGCGUAGGUGGAGUUGGGGCGGAUGAGAUCUGGCCGCGGAUUCCACCGUCAGUGGGCUAGCGCGACCGAGAUCCGGUCGCGGGGCUGGCGCGGUGCUCAGCCUGCGGUUCGGCGAGGACGGUUGUGGGGCGAGGCCACCGCAGCGACGGCACCGAACACCACGCUCGAUGAACGCAGGAGAGAAGAUUCAGGCGUAUUCUUGUCUUUUCGCUAUCUUCUUGGUACGUGUGUCUCCAGCUAGAAGUACAGUGGAAGUUCUCGUGUAAAAGUUAUGGGUCUAUGUUUAAAGAAUACAGUAUCUUUUUACGUUUAGUUUAUGUAUCUUCUUUUUACGUUUAGUUUAUGUUCUAUGUGACAAGAAAUUAAAUACAGAGAGAGUGCUGCUACCUAUGUACAUGAAACGAGCAUAUAUGUUGAAACCAAGGUGGUA